rnacentral:rRNA from 1 species
UACGUAGGGGGCAAGCGUUGUCCGGAAUUAUUGGGCGUAAAGAGCUCGUAGGCGGACUGUCACGUCCGCUGUGAAAAGUUAGGGCUUAACCCCGAGCCUGCAGUGGAUACGGGCAGACUAGAGGUAGGUAGGGGAGAAUGGAAUUCCCGGUGUAGCGGUGAAAUGCGCAGAUAUCGGGAGGAACACCGGUGGCGAAGGCGGUUCUCUGGGCCUUACCUGACGCUGAGGAGCGAAAGCGUGGGGAGCGAACAGG